CGGAUCAUUUUCUUAGAGGAUUCUCUCAUUUACACUGAGGGGUUUACCGUGCGAUUCGGUAUGGUCUGA
rnacentral:tRNA from 1 species